UUACUUCAUCAUCACUUGACUCUUCAUCAGAACCCCAUCUUCCUGUCAAUGCAGUCACAAGAUUUGCAGCUUCUUCUGUUUCACUUUCAUUAGACCAAGAGGCAGCAAGACUCCUCUUCUGUUUCUUGAGGUAGGUCCCACAUUCAGUUCUAAUGUGACCAUACCCAUCACAUUCAUAGCACUGAACUCCUUUUCCUUCUUUGGGAUUUUCU
rnacentral:lncRNA from 1 species